rnacentral:rRNA from 1 species
AUUGAACGCUGGCGGCAGGCCUAACACAUGCAAGUCGAGCGAGCGGCGGACGGGAGAGUAAUGUAUGGGGCUCGGCCCGAGAGAGGGGUAUAACUACUGGAAACGAUGGCUAAUACCGCAUACUAUCGCAUGAACCCAUAUGGGAUUAGCGAGUGGGUGGGGUAAAGGCUCACCUAGGCGACGAUCUCUAGCUGGUCUGAGAGGAUGAACAGCCACACUGGGACUGAGACACGGCCCAGACUCCGACGGGAGGCAGCAGUGGGGAAUAUUGCACAAUGGGCGCAAGCCUGAUGCAGCCAUGCCGCGUGUAUGAAGAAGGCCUUAGGGUUGUAAAGUACUUUCAGCGGGGAGGCGUUACCCGCAGAAGAAGCACCGGCUAACUCCGUGCCAGCAGCCGCGGUAAUUC